rnacentral:rRNA from 1 species
UACGUAGGGGGGCAAGCGUUGUCCGGAUUUAUUGGGCGUAAAGAGCGUGUAGGCGGCCAAGCAGGUCCGCUGUGAAAACUCGAGGCUCAACCUCGAGACGUCGGUGGAAACCGUUUGGCUAGAGUCCGGAAGAGGAGAGUGGAAUUCCCGGUGUAGCGGUGAAAUGCGCAGAUAUCGGGAAGAACACCCGUGGCGAAGGCGGCUCUCUGGGGACGGUACUGACGCUGAGGCGCGAAAAGCUAGGG